CUAUAUGGAAUAUUUCUGGAAUAUUAGAGCCUACAGAUUCUUUUAGAAGUUGAUAUCUGCCUCUCCAUUUUCACUACAUAAAAUGUACAAACAAAUUGGAUUGUAACAAAAAAUCUGGCAGACCAUAAUGAUUCAACCACUUGGAUUCUACAAACAAUACUUUAACAUGGAAAUGUGUACUUGGAUGAAGAAGAGAGAAGGCAAUGCCUGAUUUUUCCAUUUUGGAUCUACACAAUUUCUGUAUUGUUGGAAUUACACUCUUUGAUGGAAUGGGGAAAAAUUAAAAUGAUGGAUGUUUCCUAAAUCCUGGAAUAUAGCCAUUCUUUUCUAAUUGCUGGGAUAUAUGGGAUGUCUUGCUGUCAAGAUUCCACUAGCCCAGGGAAAGAGGAUUACUAUAUCAUUUCUUAAGCAAGUUGCUGUCCAAUCAAAGGUACUUUAGCUUUGAACACAUGGUGAUGAUCAGUUGUGGAUACAGCAAUCAAAAUUGACUGGGCUGGAUGGCUACAAAAGUGAACUAUUGGCGAGCAACUGUGCCUUCCUCAUUCGUUGGAAUUGUAGAGGAUAUUUCCUCUUCUGCCAGCUACCUGAUUCAUACUUAGGGCUGGAAAUAUUUAUGAAUGUGGAUAAAUUUCUAAUUGUCUGCUAUCUCAAGAAAGAAGUCUGGGGGUUUGAGAGUUACAGUUUGUCUGGGACUACUUGCUUCCAGUGGAAUUAUUUUGUCUGGUCACUAAGAUUUUUUUUUUCUUGUGGUUCAUCUAAAUAUCAUUUGACACCCUUGCCCAUUAAGAAGGUGGAUUACCCCCAUAAGAGGGGCCAAAAUUGGGGAAGUUAUGUUCACAAUUCUCUCCCUAGAUUUAAUUGGGAUUAUAGGUCGUGUUUCCACACUUGGAAAAGGGCUUCAGAUAACAGGGAGCGUGCUUAUGAACAUAGUGCCUAUGGACACCAUGAACGGGGGACGGGAGGAUUUGAUCGGACAAGACAUUACGAUCAGGAUUACUAUAGAGAUCCUCGAGAGCGGACUUUACAACAUGGGCUCUAUUACGCUUCUCGGAGUCGAAGUCCAAAUCGCUUUGAUGCUCAUGACCCCCGAUAUGAACCUAGGGCUCGCGAGCAGUUUACACUGCCCAGUGUGGUACACAGGGAUAUCUACAGGGAUGAUAUUACCCGGGAGGUACGAGGCAGAAGGCCAGAGCGGAAUUACCAGCACAGCAGGAGUCGGUCACCACAUUCAUCCCAGUCUAGAAAUCAGUCUCCUCAGAGACUGGCUAGCCAAGCAUCUAGACCCACAAGGUCCCCUAGCGGCAGCGGCUCUAGAAGUAGAUCCUCCAGUAGUGAUUCAAUCAGCAGCAGCAGUAGUACCAGCAGUGACAGGUAGGUUAACAGCCUUUUGUUAUAACAGAUGAG
rnacentral:sRNA from 1 species